rnacentral:rRNA from 1 species
UACAGAGGUCUCAAGCGUUGUUCGGAUUCAUUGGGCGUAAAGGGUGCGUAGGUGGCGGGGUUAGUCAGGUGUGAAAUCUCGGAGCUCAACUCCGAAACUGCACUUGAUACUGCCUUGCUUGAGUACUGGAGAGGAGAUUGGAAUUUACGGUGUAGUAGUGAAAUGCGUAGAUAUCGUAAGGAAGACCAGUGGCGAAGGCGAAUCUCUGGACAGUUACUGACACUGAGGCACGAAGGCCAGGGGAGCAAACGGG